UACGUAGGGGGCAAGCGUUGUCCGGAAUCAUUGGGCGUAAAGAGCGCGUAGGCGGUCCGGUAAGUCGGUUGUGAAAACUGGAGGCUCAACCUUCAGAGGUCGACCGAAACCAUCUGGCUAGAGUCCGGGAGAGGAGAGUGGAAUUCCUGGUGUAGCGGUGAAAUGCGCAGAUAUCAGGAAGAACACCCGUGGCGAAAGCGGCUCUCUGGAACGGUACUGACGCUGAGACGCGAAAGCGUGGGGAGCGAACAGG
rnacentral:rRNA from 1 species